AUUGCCGCACAAUGAUGUAAACUCCAUCCCUUUAAAUAUUUAUAACAAUCAUUCAUAACAAAUUAAUUAUACAUUAAAAAUGAUUAAAAAACAACAGAUAUAUUUAUCAUAAUAUUCAAUAGGUUUUAAAUGGACCUUUGAAGUGGCUGCAGUUGACCAGAAGCAAAUUGAAUCAAGGAUGGCAGUGUAGGAGUGUAGGGUAUGGUGGCAGAUCUGGUGUGCUGCUCCUCCUUUUUUCUUCCCAUGUCGGCGAAAGUGCUGGUAAAGUUGGUGGAGUCCCGGCGGGAUUGGGCUUUCCAGCUCCUAUAAGUCAGCAACCAGGGGAGUUUUCCAGCGGAAAUUCGACUGAAAGAAAGAGGAACAAUUCUAAAAGAAAUAGGGGAAGAGAAAUACAGGAAUAAGAGGCAUCUUAUGCUGAAGAAACACCCCUAAAGUCAGCCACUCAGUCAGUCAUUCUUAGUUCUCUGAGUUGAGUAGUUCUGACUUAAGUUCUGAUUUCUAAUUUGUUACAGCUAUCUUAAAUAAAUAUUAUUAUUCUUAUUAAUGCCUAUUUCCCAACAA